rnacentral:rRNA from 1 species
AUGGCGUUGUCACUCAUCACCAGAUUGCUAACCCUGGCUCUGGGGUACGCGUACCCGGCGUACGCUUGCUACAAGAUGCUGGAACUGCACCCGCCGCAGAUUGAGCAAUUGCUUUUCUGGUGCCAGUACUGGAUUCUGAUGGCGACGCUGACGGUCGUCGAGAGGUUCGCGGACUGGAUAGUGUCGUGGCUGCCGAUGUACGGCGAGGCGAAGCUGCUGCUCGUCCUCUACCUCUGGCACCCCGGCACACGGGGUGCAGGGCACGUGUACGAUGGCCUCCUCCGUCCGCUGGUGGCGAGGCACGAGCACGACAUCGACCGGGGCCUGCUGGAGCUGAGGGCCAGGGCGAGGGACGUGACGGCGUCUCAACUCAAGGCGGCGGCUGCCGUCGCUCAGGCGUGGCUCGUCGAGGCUGCCCGGUGUGUUUCGUCGCAGCUGCAGGCCGCGAGAUCAGACCGGGCAUGCGCCGCUCAUUGA